GUCUACUUUGCUCGCAUAAUAGCGAGUAGUGAAUCCACACUGGUUUGCAGCAACAAGCAACGCUGAUGCUGGCGAGAGUGUGCACAGCUAUUAGUCAUCCACACUGGUAUAACUUCAUUGGUUCGUCUAAUUCAUCUUGGCUGGUCUUAAAAACGAGGAUUGCCUUCGUCUGUCGAACAAGCCACUGUUUUUCCUGGAUUUAACUAUUUCGUUUUAUUUCAAUUCAUGUAUGUAUGUGCCUCGGAAAUCUACCACAUUUGUUGAAUGUUUACUGGGAACUUAGGUGGGCCUAGGGGGAAGCCUGCUGGUGGUAACCUGUUAGUUUUGUUUGUUUCUUUGUCUGUUUGUGUGCCAGUCAUUGUAAUACGUGUUCGGCCUGGGAAUUGUGCAAUAUUGCAGUGCUCACUAGUGUGAAGUGUGAAGUGUGAAACGCCGUGUCUGUGUGUACGGCCCAUUUGGUGUGAAGUGCCUCUUGCAGAUUGGAGUGUUUUAGAUUGUGUAUGUGAAAAGUAUUUAUUAAUGUAUUUGACUUUAUACACUGUAACUCAUCUGGAAGACCUAUUCAUUCGUUGUAAUUUAUUGUAGAAUUUCAUCCACUGUUGCCUAUGUGGAACAUUUGCUUGUCCUGAUUGCCGAUCAGUGUAUUUAUGGUGUCUGUCUAGUGUCUAAUAAAUGUAUAUUUUUUGAUUACAUCAGUUCCAUUCCUCUUCCUUCAUUGGACAUA